rnacentral:rRNA from 1 species
UACGUAGGGGGCAAGCGUUUGUCCGGAUUUAUUGGGCGUAAAGAGCGUGUAGGCGGCCUGAAAGGUCAGCUGUGAAAACUCGAGGCUCAACCUCGAGACGUCGGUUGAAACCAUCUGGCUAGAGUCCGGAAGAGGAGUGUGGAAUUCCCGGUGUAGCGGUGAAAUGCGCAGAUAUCAGGAGGAACACCGGUGGCGAAGGCGGGUCUCUGGGGCCGAUAUUGACGCUGAGGAGCGAAAGCGUGGGGAGCGAACAGG